ACUCCUACGGGAGGCAGCAGUGGGGAAUUUUGGACAAUGGGCGAAAGCCUGAUCCAGCAAUGCCGCGUGAGUGAAGAAGGCCUUCGGGUUGUAAAGCUCUUUUGUCAGGGAAGAAACGGUGAGAGCUAAUAUCUCUUGCUAAUGACGGUACCUGAAGAAUAAGCACCGGCUAACUACGUGCCAGCAGCCGCGGUAAUACGUAGGGUGCAAGCGUUAAUCGGAAUUACUGGGCGUAAAGCGUGCGCAGGCGGUUUUGUAAGUCUGAUGUGAAAUCCCCGGGCUCAACCUGGGAAUUGCAUUGGAGACUGGAAGGCUAGAAUCUGGCAGAGGGGGGUAGAAUUCCACGUGUAGCAGUGAAAUGCGUAGAUAUGUGGAGGAACACCGAUGGCGAAGGCAGCCCCCUGGGUCAAGAUUGACGCUCAUGCACGAAAGCGUGGGGAGCAAACAGGAUUAGAAACCCUGGUAGUCCC
rnacentral:rRNA from 1 species